rnacentral:vault_RNA from 1 species
GGACAGGCGUAGCCAUGUGGAUACUUCGAGAGAGAGAGAGAGAGAAUAGGGUUUACCCAAGGGUUUACCAGCGUUAUCCUUGGUUGGAACCUCGGAUGAAUCCACUAGCACUGUCCUGUCUUUUG